GAACGAAUUUUUGUGUAAGUCGUUCGUAAAGCUGUUCUGACAUAAACUUUCGAAUUCAUGAAAAUGUUUGUAUUUUCUAAAUGUUAGUGAAAGAAAUGUACACCUGCUCCCUAACACAUGCAAAUGGUGCGUAAAACGUUCUGUGUUCUUUUUGGCAAACUGGUGACACUGAAUUUUGAUGCAUAAUAUUCAUAUGUCAUAAUAAUUACAAGUACAUUUGCCUUUGGCCUCUUUUUUUUAUUAUUAUUUUUUUUUUUUAUCUCUCUCUCGAGUUGAUAACUGUAAAACGCAGUGCUCGUCACUGUCACUAUUCUGCUUGUACAACGACUACCUACAACAAUAAAGAAUUCAAUAUUACUGGUUACUGCUUUUUUAUAUUUAGUACAAUUCUUUAAAAUUAGAUAUUAAUACGUUAUCGCAAGCGUCUCAGCUGGAAAAACGCAUUUUUUCAGAUGGCUAAAAACUCUUUGGUGGACACACGUUAUUCAAUAUUUAUUGUUAGGCCUAUUAGUCGUAUUUGCAUUUAUGCACUUUACUGGAGCCAAACCUGAGAAAGUAGAUCAGAAUAUUCCACUGUGGUCCUGGACACGCAUUUUGAGUAGCUGUAAUUUAUAGGCGGGGAUUAUGCUAAUUGUGAAUGAGCGUGCACAAGCGCCCUAUUACCAGUGAUUGGAAUUCAUUAACAUACACGUUUAUGUUAAUGAAAGCUCUUUCUGAUUCUGAGUCUGUUUUACACGCAAAUUACUCAGACUUUACUCAUAUAUUUAUGAAUGUUUCAUGAAUGAGGCCCAUUGUCGGUUAAAUCCAUUUUUUUAUUAUUAUUGUAAGGUAACUUACAGUUAACAGGUUUUACUGUUUUCUGUUUAAGAUGAUACAUAGUCUAUUCUGUGUUAGAAGUAUGUAGACAUUUAAAGCUAAGCAGCAUCUUCAAUGUAUUAUGUUUUAAAGAUUUAAUUUAUACACAGAAUAAUUCCAUGUCAAAUGAUGUUGAAAUCAAAUCCAGCCUUUCAAGUU
ensembl:lncRNA